UACGUAGGGGGCAAGCGUUGUCCGGAAUCAUUGGGCGUAAAGAGCGCGUAGGCGGCCCUGUAAGUCCGCUGUGAAAGUCAAGGGCUCAACCCUUGAAUGCCGGUGGAUACUGCAGGGCUAGAGUCCGGAAGAGGCGAGUGGAAUUCCUGGUGUAGCGGUGAAAUGCGCAGAUAUCGGGAGGAACACCGAUGGCGAAGGCAGGUCUCUGGGCAUUAACUGACGCUGAGGAGCGAAAGCAUGGGGAGCGAACAGG
rnacentral:rRNA from 1 species